ensembl:lncRNA
GGUGAUCUAUGCUUGAGAUCUAUUCAGUGAUUAAAGGGGCUGUGUGCUGGCUGCUGUUCCUGCUGAAAGAAAAAAGAGAAAAACAUAAAGAGGAUACAGAAUGACCACACUAAGCACUUUAAGCAAUAAACGUUUAUGCUUUUAAAAAUGGGAAAAAAUGACAUUUAAUAAGAGAAGAAAAUGAGAAUAUCAACCCCCAUAAAGCAAAUGGUGUGGAUCAGCACAGGCUCAGCUCUGCCUGAAGUGACUUGGGCUAUUCUGGUGACUUGAAAAUUCUUAUGUGAGGAGCCCUGAGUGGGAUUAUUUGCACCUAAAGCAAUUUCCAGAAUGUGAAUGGUGACCAGAACACACAGAGGCAGAAAAGCAAACGGGAAAUAGAUGGGAGAAAUCCUGCAGUGCUGGGAUGGGCAGAGCUCUGGUCACAUCAUUCACAGAAUAAAAAAUGCAGAAACUCUGAGUUCAGCCAUUCAGCAUAAGAAGUCGAUGGACAAUCUGAACUUGAGUGGAUCAAAAAGCAAUGAAAAUAUAACCAAAAUGGAACUACCUGCCCAAACACAGCAAGCGUGUAUCACAGCUAAAGAUGUCUGUAGCCCACUGAAGGCCCAUUUGAAGCACCAAAGGCUCUGCAGUUGGCUCCUUGGCAAUGCUGCAAUGGCAGCGAUGUGGCACUUCUGUGCUCAGGCUGCGUGGGGUCACGCAGGUCCUUAGGCUGCUGUAAUGUGGAGCACUGCGAAGUUUUUAAUUUCACUGUUCUGGGCUGUUAGCCUGGACACGUCCAACUCCAAAGGGCCAGCCCUACUUCAGUAACUCUUUGAUGCACAGUGAAUACAUAUUAAGAGAUCCUGAGGGACUGUGCUUUCCCUGAAGCUGGUUGGCAGUGUGAGGUGCCAAAACAGGAAGAGUAAUGAAAGGGUACUCAUCCUAUCUCACAUGUCAGGCAGAGGAGCGCGCAGCAGGAGGAGAUGAUGGUAAGUAUUAAAUCCUUCAUGGAAGAUGCUUAGGGAAGCAGUAAGGCCCUUUUGCAAGCAGCUGAGUGCUGUGCCUUAGCAGAGUUCCACUAACAUGCCUGCGCUCACUGUGCGGGGGCUCUGCGCAUGAUCUUGG